GGGGGAAUAUUGCACAAUGGGCGCAAGCCUGAUGCAGCCAUGCCGCGUGUAUGAAGAAGGCCUUCGGGUUGUAAAGUACUUUCAGCGGGGAGGAAGGCGAUAAGGUUAAUAACCUUGUCGAUUGACGUUACCCGCAGAAGAAGCACCGGCUAACUCCGUGCCAGCAGCCGCGUUAAUACGGAGGGUGCAAGCGUUAAUCGGAAUUACUGGGCGUAAAGCGCACGCAGGCGGUCUGUCAAGUCGGAUGUGAAAUCCCCGGGCUCAACCUGGGAACUGCAUUCGAAACUGGCAGGCUAGAGUCUUGUAGAGGGGGGUAGAAUUCCAGGUGUAGCGGUGAAAUGCGUAGAGAUCUGGAGGAAUACCGGUGGCGAAGGCGGCCCCCUGGACAAAGACUGACGCUCAGGUGCGAAAGCGUGGGGAGCAAACA
rnacentral:rRNA from 1 species